CGAUCUUCAGCAUUUCCUGUUGGCUGGGGUAUUGCUUAGGUGUAAUUUCUAUUCUUAGUACCUAAUAUAGGUCUGUGAACCUGUUUUCUGGGUCUAAGGCAGGAUAAACUAAAUUGAAACAUCCUUUUAUGGAUAUUGCCCUAAUUUCUUGUAAACUGAAGAUCACAAAUGCUGGAGGCUGAAGAUAGGCUAAGUAACAAGAAGGUCUGCUGGAACAGACUAGAAGGCUAGUGAAGCAAAAUAACAAUGGAAUGGUUUAUGAAUAUAUCUUAGCAAUCUGGGAUAUUAAAUUAGAAGACUGCAUUUUUCCUCUUUGACAUAGCUAUAUAAAAAAGAAUAAAUAGCAAGCGAUACGCAAGCGAUUAAAUGCAUCACCUGAAUGCUGAAUAGGUUUAUGCCAUGCUGAAAAUAAGGAGACAUUUUAGUUUUGUACAGAUUCACGGUAUUUUCACAGUAAUUUCAUACUGUGAAUGUACAAAGCCUCCUUUUACCUCUGUGUGUGUAUAUAUAUAUGCACCUGUCAAGCUAAAUGCUUUAAAUUUCAGCCCUUUCUGAGUCACGUAUCUAUAAAAUGCUCAGCUUUUUAAAGCAUUGUCUUAAAAUUCUGAAUUAAUCGACUUUUCCAAAACUUCAAAUUCAGCCUGGAGUUCAGCCUCGAAGUUUCCAUCUGCAGCAAGAGAAAACUAUACUUACUGGUUUUCAAACUGUUGUUGUGAAAGAUAUAAUGGAAACAUUGUUAUCUCUGUCCAUAAUUAUGGAUAUGGUAAUUUUGUUGCAUGUAUACAUGCAUACACAAACAGAUACACAACUUGAAUGUUGCACUAUUCUUAGUCUAUACACUCAGUCCUGACAGCACUCAAGAUUUAAUGUAAUAGUGUGAAUGUAUAGAAUCAAGUUUUUUCUUGUAUAUGUGUGAAAUGUUAUCUGGCUGUACAAUAUUAAAUUAUUGCUUGAGUAUGGCAUCUGCCUCACUUGCUGAUCAUCAUUGAUUCAUACAGGCUUUACAUAUCUGAUUCUUGCUCCGUCCUCUCUGUGGAAAGCGUGAUUCCAUCAGUGGUUCAGUGCUGUCAUGAAGUGGAAGGAUUUAGCAGUCUGCAUCUGGUGUGUUUGUGAAGGCUUUCAGCAAGAUUUACAGCACUGGCUCCAGCAUGUCAGUGUCCUUCAUGUAGUGAGAUACCCAAAGCUGAACACAGGAUUCAAGGUGCUGCCUCACCAGUGCAAAAUACAAGGGACAAUCAAUGCCCUGCUCCUGCUGGCCACACUUUUUCUGAUACGCAUUAAUCAUCAAGCAGUGCUAUCUGGAAUGGGCACAAAAGGAAAGAAAAUUAACAGUAUUAUUUGGAUGUAUUCACAGGAAGAAACUUCUGCUCUGGAAGAGUUGUCCCCCUUCAGACACAGCAGUACCAGAGGUCAUUAAAUUUUUCUUCUUCAGAUCUGCAUUUGUAAACCUGAAACCUUUUUUUUUGCCUAUAAAAUACAGCAGUCACAAAGAUGUUUGGCAGCCUGUGCUAAUACUAAUAAUAUUUAGCAAUAAUUCAACUAUCAGUUCUUAUCUACUUCUUCCAUUCCUACCUUCUCUUUGCCAAGUCCACUUUUUUGGCUGCCCUAUCUUUUCUAGAGUAAGAUUUUUGAGGUGGGAAAUAAGCCUUUUUGCUGUGGUUUAUAGAUGGUAAACACAGUAGGGCUCUGGUCCACCACAGAAACACUAAGAUCAUAAUGCAGAUGGUACAAAUAAGCUCAAGACAGAUUCUACAUUGGUUAAAAUUAAAUAUAUUCUUCCCCAAAUUA